CCUACGGGUGGCUGCAGUAACGAAUAUUCCGCAAUGCACGCAAGUGUGACGGAGCAAUGCCGCGUGUGGGAUGAAGCAUCUCGGUGUGUAAACCACUGUCAGGGUCUAGACCAGACCCAAAGGAAGAGACGGCUAACUCUGUGCCAGCAGCCGCGGUAAUACAGAGGUCUCAAGCGUUAAUCGGAAUUACUGGGCUUAAAGGGUCCGCAGGCGGUCUGACAAGUAUCUUGUGAAAUCCCAUGUCUCAACCAUGGAACCGCUCGAUAGACUGUCAGACUUGAGUGCAAAAGGGGUCGCUGGAACUCUAGGUGGAGCGGUGAAAUGCGUAGAUAUCUAGAGGAACGCCAAAGGUGAAGACAGGCGACUGUUGCAACUGACGCUCAUGGACGAAAGCGUGGGGAUCAAACGGGAUUAGAUACCCUUGUAGUC
rnacentral:rRNA from 1 species